AUUGAACGCUGGCGGCAGGCCUAACACAUGCAAGUCGAGCGAGCGGCGGACGGGUGAGUAAUGUAUGGGGACUGCCCGAUAGAGGGGGAUAACUACUGGAAACGGUGGCUAAUACCGCAUACUAUCGGAUAACCCAUAUGGGAUUAGCUAGUAGGUGGGGUAAAGGCUCACCUAGGCGACGAUCGCUAGCUGGUCUGAGAGGAUGAUCAGCCACACUGGGACGGAGACACGGCCCAGACGCCUACGGAGGCAGCAGUGGGGAAUAUUGCACAAUGGGCGCAAGCCUGAUACAGCCAUCCCGCUGGUGCGAUGAAGGCCUUCGGGUUGUAAAGCACUUUUGGCAGGAAAGCGGUACCUGCAGAAUAAGCACCGGCUAACUACGUGCCAGCAGCCGCGGUAAUAC
rnacentral:rRNA from 1 species